GUCGGUUACGGGGACAUUAGUCCUAUCACUGUUCUGGGGAAGAUCAUUGGAUCUGUUUGCUGUGUAUGUGGUGUGCUAUUCAUCGCUCUCCCCAUUCCUAUCAUCGUGAACAAU
rfam:Strongylocentrotus purpuratus Contig55838_fixed, whole genome shotgun sequence.